AGUGAACGCUGGCGGUAGGCCUAACACAUGCAAGUCGAACGGCAGCACAGGAGAGCUUGCUCUCUGGGUGGCGAGUGGCGGACGGGUGAGGAAUACAUCGGAAUCUACUCUGUCGUGGGGGAUAACGUAGGGAAACUUACGCUAAUACCGCAUACGACCUACGGGUGAAAGCAGGGGAUCGUCGGACCUUGCGCGAUUGAAUGAGCCGAUGUCGGAUUAGCUAGUUGGCGGGGUAAAGGCCCACCAAGGCGACGAUCCGUAGCUGGUCGGAGAGGAUGAUCAGCCACACUGGAACUGAGACACGGUCCAGACUCCUACGGGAGGCAGCAGUGGGGAAUAUUGGACAAUGGGCGCAAGCCUGAUCCAGCCAUACCGCGUGGGUGAAGAAGGCCUUCGGGUUGUAAAGCCCUUUUGUUGGGAAAGAAAUCCAGCUGGCUAAUACCCGGUUGGGAUGACGGUACCCAAAGAAUAAGCACCGGCUAACUUCGUGCCAGCAGCCGCCGUAA
rnacentral:rRNA from 1 species